UGGGGAAUAUUGCACAAUGGGCGCAAGCCUGAUGCAGCAACGCCGCGUGAACGAUGAAGGUCUUCGGAUCGUAAAGUUCUGUUGCAGGGGAAGAUAAUGACGGUACCCUGUGAGGAAGCCCCGGCUAACUACGUGCCAGCAGCCGCGGUAAUACGUAGGGGGCUAGCGUUAUCCGAAUUUACUGGGCGUAAAGGGUGCGUAGGUGGUCUUUCAAGUCGGUGGUUAAAGGCUACGGCUCAACCGUAGUUAGCCUCCGAAACUGGAAGACUUGAGUGCAGGAGAGGAAAGUGGAAUUCCCAGUGUAGCGGUGAAAUGCGUAGAUAUUGGGAGGAACACCAGUAGCGAAGGCAGCUUUCUGGACUGCAACUGACACUGAGGCACGAAAGCGUGGGUAGCAAACAGG
rnacentral:rRNA from 1 species